GACGAACGCUGGCGGCGUGCUUAACACAUGCAAGUCGAACGGAAAGGCCCUGCUUUCAGGGUACUCGAGUGGCGAACGGGUGAGUAACACGCGGGUGAUCUGCCCUGCACUUCGGGAUAUGCCUGGGAGACUGGGUCGAAUACCGGAGAGGAGCCAUUUUUAGUGUGAUGGUUGGAUAGUUUUUUCGGUGUAGGAUGAGCUCGCGGCCUAUCAGCUUGUUGGUGGGGUAAGGGCCUACCAAGGCGGCGUCGGGUAGCCGGCCUGGGAGGGUGGACGGCCACAAUGGGACUGAGAUACGGCCCAGGCUCCUACGGGGAGCAGCAGUGGGGAAUAUUGCACAAUGGGCGCAAGCCUGGUGCAGCGACGCCGCGGGGGGGAUGACGGGCUUCGGGUUGUAAACUCCUUUCGCUAGGGACGAAGCUUUUUGUGACGGUACCUAGAUAAGAAGCACCGGCUAACUACGUG
rnacentral:rRNA from 1 species